AUUGAACGCUGGCGGCAGGCCUAACACAUGCAAGUCGAACGAGUGGCGGACGGGUGAGUAAUGUCUGGGAAACUGCCUGAUGGAGGGGGAUAACUACUGGAAACGGUAGCUAAUACCGCAUACCAUCGGAUGUGCCCAGAUGGGAUUAGCUAGUAGGUGGGGGAAAGGCUCACCUAGGCGACGAUCCCUAGCUGGUCUGAGAGGAUGACCAGCCACACUGAAACUGGGGAAGGGUCCAGACUCCUACGGGAUGAAGCAGUGGGGAAUAUUGCACAAUGGGCGCAAGCCGGAUGCAGCCAUGCCGCGGGUAGGAAGAAGGCCUUCGGGUUGUAAAGUACUUUCAGCGGGGAGGCGUUACCCGCAGAAGAAGCACCGGCUAACUCCGUGCCAGCAGCCGCGGUAAUAC
rnacentral:rRNA from 1 species